rnacentral:rRNA from 1 species
GACUUCUGGUUUAAUGCACCUGGCCCGCGGCCCACAAGGCCUGUGAGUGCCGGCGCGCGUUUACCAUCCUUCCAGCAACGGCUACCCUUAACUGGGCGGCUGGAACUGGAUCUUUUACUUUGAAAAAAUUAGAGUGUUUAAAGCAGCGUUUGCUCUGAAUAAAAAGAAUCUAGGGCUUCGGUUCUAUUUUGUUGGUUUCUAUAACUGAAGUAAUGAUUGCUAGGGAUCGUUGGGGGUGCUAGUAUUGGCCGGUCAGAGGUGAAAUUCUUGGAUUCGGUCAAGACUAACUUAUGCGAAAGCAUU